UGAAAAGAAUCACAUGGUCCUACACUGCCAU
rnacentral:piRNA from 1 species